rnacentral:tRNA from 1 species
UCCGGGGUAACUCAGUGGCAGAGUGUCCGCCUGUUAAGCGGAACGCCGAAGGUUCGAUUCCUUCCCCCGGAGCCA